UCCCUAGUGGUCCAGUGGUUAGGACUCUGCACUUCCGCUGCAGGGGGCAUGGGUUCGAUCCCCGGUUGGGGAA